rnacentral:rRNA from 1 species
UGCCAGCAGCCGCGGUAAUACGGAGGGAGCUAGCGUUGUUCGGAAUUACUGGGCGUAAAGCGUGCGUAGGCGGAUCGACAAGUUGGGGGUGAAAUCCCGGGGCUUAACCCCGGAACUGCCCUCAAAACUGUCGAUCUAGAGACCGGGAGAGGUAAGCGGAAUUCCUAGUGUAGAGGUGAAAUGCGUAGAUACCCGGAGGAACACCCGUGGCGAAAGCGGCUCUCUGGGCUGUACCUGACGCUGAUACACGAAAGCGUGGGGAGCAAACCGGAUUAGAUA